GGAGCGGUGUCCGAGCGGUUGAAGGAGAUGGUUUCGAAAACCAUUGAACUCGCAAGGGUUCCGGGGGUUCGAAUCCCCCCUGCUCCG
rnacentral:tRNA from 2 species